AGGUCCACGACAACUUGUUGAGCACUGUGCCCUCGGCUGUGCCAGGCACUCCAGGCACAGAGAUGAAAGCCGAGUCUUCUCUUGAGGGGUGCAGAGUCUGGGAGAGACGACAGGCCGCGCACACGGCUGUGGGAGAAGCAGCACGAGCAGGCGGUGCCCCGGGGCACAGAGGCCCAUCGAGGAGCUCAUCCCUAUUCAUGCGGCAAGGCCCAACUCAGAUGUUGCCUCCUCUGAGAAGCCACCCUGACUUUCCUCGUAGUCCUAGAACGAAUUUGUGGCCCUCUGCUCAGUGGAUUUGGAGCCUCCAGGCGAGUUGCUGCGUUGAGAAGAGUCUGUCGAGGCACAAGGUGGCAGCAGGGAGACCGGUGAUCCAGGCGAAAUAAUGGUUGCUCGUGGGACGUGAAUGCUUGCGGAAUGGAACCAAGCCGCUCCACACAGAGCUUGCUAGAAAUCGUGACUUUGUGAUUCCUUACAGAGAAUGGAAAAAUCACCACAGGAACAAAGUCUCUGAAGCAAAACCUGCCCCGAUUUUGGUGGUUGAGGUUAAGAGGAAGAUUUCUUUCUCGUCUCCGACAGGAACCUCGGAGUUCUAAAGGGAAAGCAUCCCUGGCCACACCUCAAAUUUGAUGGAGGAGUUCUCUGAAGCCCCGGGUGGUCACGUGACUGAUCCAUGGUCGCACAGCGGCUCGGUGGCCACCCGGGACUCCGGAUUCUUGCCCUGCACGGUGUCUCUCUUUCUGCUUUGUUCCUUUCUCAGGCUCUCAGAUGGGCCCCUCUCUGUUCCCAGAGCACAAAUCACUGCACCCCCAAGGUUCCUAAGGUCUGCCAUUGAGUGACUGUGGUACCUGCCAGCUCGGCGAGUUCGUGGCCAGCAGCCCAGACCUUGCCUUGUUCCCCCAGGACCCUGAGCCAGCUCUGGUCCUCUGUCCCCUUAGCAGGCGAUCUGGUUGUCUCACUCCCCAUCCGGAACAGAAUGCGACUCCAUGCCCUCCCCAUCUGCCCCCUCUGGCCUUCCCUUCUGCCUCUCUCUUGCGGGCCGCUCCUCCGCCACCCAAGCUCUAAAUGGGCUCUUUCUCCAGGCACUAGGCGCCCGUCCCUUCUCCCCUCUAUGUGCUAUCUUGGUGUGACUCUCAGUUCC